rnacentral:rRNA from 1 species
AUACGUAGGGGGCGAGCGUUGUCCGGAAUGAUUGGGCGUAAAGGGCGCGUAGGCGGCCCGGUACGUCUGGAGUGAAAGUCCUGUUUUUAAGAUGGGAAUUGCUUUGGAUACUGUCGGGCUUGAGUGCAGGAGAGGUAAGUGGAAUUCCCAGUGUAGCAGUGAAAUGCGUAGAGAUUGGGAGGAACACCAGUGGCGAAGGCGACUUACUGGACUGUAACUGACGCUGAGGCGCGAAAGUGUGGGGAGCAAACAGGGUUAGAUACCCUGGUAGUCCACACUGUAAACGAUGAAUGCUAGGUGUAGGGGGUAUCGACCCCUUCUGUGCCGCAGUCAACACAAUAAGCAUUCCGCCUGGGGAGUACGGCCGCAAGGUUGAAACUCAAAGGAAUUGACGGGG